GGGCGAUUAGCUCAGCUGGUUAGAGCGCGUCACUGAUAGAUGACGAGGUCGGAGGUUCCAAAGUCCCUCAUCGCCCACCA
rnacentral:tRNA from 1 species